rnacentral:rRNA from 1 species
UUGAACGCUGGCGGCAGGCCUAACACCUGCAAGUCGAGCGGUAGAGAGAAGCUUGCUUCUCUUGAGAGCGGCGGACGGGUGAGUAAUGCCUAGGAAUCUGCCUGGUAGUGGGGGAUAACGUUCGGAAACGGACGCUAAUACCGCAUACGUCCUACGGGAGAAAGCAGGGGACCUUCGGGCCUUGCGCUAUCAGAUGAGCCUAGGUCGGAUUAGCUAGUUGGUGGGGUAAUGGCUCACCAAGGCGACGAUCCGUAACUGGUCUGAGAGGAUGAUCAGUCACACUGGAACUGAGACACGGUCCAGACUCCUACGGGAGGCAGCAGUGGGGAAUAUUGGACAAUGGGCGAAAGCCUGAUCCAGCCAUGCCGCGUGUGUGAAGAAGGUCUUCGGAUUGUAAAGCACUUUAAGUUGGGAGGAAGGGCAGUAAAUUAAUACUUUGCUGUUUUGACGUUACCGACAGAAUAAGCACCGGCUAACUCUGUG